rnacentral:rRNA from 1 species
CGGGGUGCACCAGGCGCGAAAACUUUGCAAUACACGAAAGUGUGACAGGGUCAUCCCGAGUGCCGACCGCUGAGGUUGGCUUUUACCCAGUCUAGAAAGCUGGGGGAAUAAGGAGAGGGCAAGUCUGGUGUCAGCCGCCGCGGUAAUACCAGCUCUCCGAGUGGUGUGGACGUUUAUUGGGCCUAAAGCAUCCGUAGCUGGCUGAACAAGUCCCCUGUUAAACCCACCGAUUUAAUCGUUGGUCUGCGGGGGAUACUGCUCGGCUAGGGGACGAGAGAGGCAGACGGUAUUCCCGGGGUAGGGGUGAAAUCCUAUAAUCCCGAGAAGACCACCAGUGGCGAAGGCUGUCUGCUAGAACGCGCCCGACGGUGAGGGAUGAAAGCUGGGGGAGCGAACCGGAUUAGAUACCCGGGUAGUCCCAGCUGUAAACGAUGCAGACUAGGUGUUUGGACGGCCACGUGCCGUUCUAGUGCCGCAGGGAAGCUGUUAAGUCUGCCGCCUGGGGAGUACGAUCGCAAGAUUGAAACUUAAAGGAAUUGGCGGGGGAGCAC